UCACUCCUUUUGGUUACCAUCCAGCAAAGGGAUAAAUAAAAAAAUCGAACCAGCAUGAGGAGGAAUGACGUACUGCACGUGAUGACCAUCUUGUUUCUCAUCGGGUGCCUUGCGACAACGGAAUGUCGUCUCAGAGCUGCUGGAAGAGGCAUCUCAGAUGGUCAGACAAACACGACCACUGACGGCAUUGUGGUCAACUCGACGGCGAUCGGUGAGAGCAAGCGUAACGCCAUAUUUUGCAGUCUCAAGGGAUGUACCGGCAAUGGCGGGGAGCUGUAUAAGUGCUAUUGCUGCGUGAAGCCAGGCCUGACGUGUUUCCCGUCAGCGGAUGACUGCGAGUUCUAUUGCCAUUGAAGAUAGCCGGGAUUACGUACGCACCCUAUAUUAGCUUGCGUGCAGAAAAGGUGUAAAGAUAGACCGGCACGUACUAUGGGUUCAAUGUACUGAUGCAUAAGAUAUCUUUACCAUGAGUAAUAAUUUAAGUUCUAUUUCAGCUUAGUA